rnacentral:rRNA from 1 species
UGAGGAAUAUUGCGCAAUGGGGGAAACCCUGACGCAGCAACGCCGCGUGGGUGAUGAAGGCCUUCGGGUCGUAAAGCCCUGUCAGGUGGGAAGAAUGUCCCGGGACUGAGCAGGUUCCGGGAGUGACGGUACCACCAGAGGAAGCACCGGCUAACUCCGUGCCAGCAGCCGCGGUAAUACGGAGGGUGCAAGCGUUAUUCGGAAUUACUGGGCGUAAAGCGCGUGUAGGCGGUCCUGCAAGUCUGAUGUGAAAGCCCCGGGCUUAACCCGGGAAGUGCAUUGGAAACUGUGGGACUUGAGUACUGGAGAGGAUGGGGGAAUUCCCGGUGUAGAGGUGAAAUUCGUAGAGAUCGGGAGGAAUAUCAGUGGCGAAGGCGCCCAUCUGGACGGUAACUGACGCUGAGACGCGAAAGCGUGGGGAGCAAACA